rnacentral:lncRNA from 1 species
CUUUUUAGCAGGGGCCUUACGGGUGCGCGCUUCGGUCCUGGAGGCCUUAUCCUAGCCUCCUCUCUCCAUCAGCGCCACCCGUCUGGGGCCCAAAAGGAGGGAGCUUUACCUCUGUCCCCCAGCCUUUGGAGUGUCACCAAACAAGCCAUUCGUUCACCAAAUACUUAUUAAGUGCCUGACAACGGAGAUGUAACGGCGCAGGAAUGAGAUGCAGCAGCUGGGGAAGCCAGGGUCUCUGGCAGUCCUUGUCUCUGGGCAGUGAUCCAGAGAGAGAACACGAUUGUCUCAGCACUGGAUCUUCUUCUGAGUCGUUUUGAAGGAGCAAUUGCAGAGCGUCUCGGUGUUAAACAUCAUGUUGUGAAUGACUCCGUGAUCUCUGACCCAGUGUCCUUGGGGAUAAAGGAGGGGAGGUAUGGAGAAGCUCUUCGAAUGGAUGUUACGGGGGUGUCAGUGUUCUUUGAGGGCACAGGCUAUGUGUCACCAAAUUGAAGGGUUGGCCUGCCCCUCCACACUUGUGGGUAUUUCUAGUCGGGUGGGAUGAGAGACGGAGAAAAGAAGACACAGAGACAAUGUAUAGAGAAACAACAGUGGGUCCAGGGGACCGGCACUCAGCACAGCAAGGACCUGCACCGGCACCGGCCUCUGAGUUCCCUCAGUUUUUGUUGAUCAUGAUUUUCAUUAUUUCAGCAGAAAGGAAUGUAGUAGGAGAGCAGUGUGAUAAUAAGGAGAAGGUCAACAAAAAACAUGUGAGCAAAGGAAUCUGUAUCAUAAUUAAGUUCAAGGGAAGGUACUAUGACUGGACGUGCACGUAGGCCAGAUUUAUGUUUCUCUCCACCCAAACAUCUCAGCGGAGUAAAGAAUAACAAGGCAGCAUUACUGCAAACAUGUCUCCCCUCCUGCCACAGGGCAGCUUUUCUCCUAUCUCAGAGUUGAACAAAUGUACAAUCGGGUUUUACACUGAGACAUUCAGUUCCCAGGGGCAAGCAGGAGACAGUGGCCUUCCUCCAUCUCAACUGCAAGAGGCUUUCCUCUUUUACUAAUCCACCUCAGCACAGACCCUUUACGGGUGUCAGGCUGGGGAACAGUCAGGUCUUUCUCAUUCCACGAGGCCAUAUUUCAGACUAUCACAUGGGGAGAAACCUUGGACAAUACCCUGCUUUCAAAGGCAGAGGUCCCUUCGGCUUUCCACGGUGCAUUGUGCCCUCGGUUUAUUGAGACUAGAGAAUGGCAAUGACUUUUACCGAGUAUACUGCUUGUAAACGUUUUGUUCACAAGUCACAUCCUGCACAGCCCUAGAUCCCCUAAACCUAGAUUUUAUACAACACAUGUUUUUGUGAGCUCCAAGUUGGGUCAAAGUGGCUGGGGCAAAGCUACAAAUGAACAACAUCUCAGCAAAGCAAUUGUUUAAAGUACAGGUCUUUUUCAAAAUGGAGACUCUUAUGUCUUUCUUUUCUACAUAGACACAGUGACAGUUUGAUCUCUCUUUUCCCUACACAAAUAAAGAGCUCAGUGUCUUUUCUCAUUGCUCAAGAGAUUGAAGGGGUAGGAAGAAAAGAUGUUAAGUUGUAAACAUGUUUCAGUUUUGGUACCACUUGAACCAAUUUAUGUUUUGAAAAGAAAAGAGUCUUGCCUACAAAGUCAGCCCCUGGGUUUUCUUUCUGCUUAUGGAAUCCAGGCAAUGGGCAAAGAGAAAAAGAAAACAAAGGAAUCAGCCAGAUGCAGUGGCUCAUGCUUGUAAUCUUGGCACUUUGGGAGGCUGAGGCAGGUGGACGUCUUGAAUCCAGGAGUUCAAGAAGAGCCUGGCCCACAUAGUGAGACCCCAUUUCUACAAAAAAUAUAAAAACUUACGGAGCAUGGUGGCAUGCACCUGUAGUCCCGGUUACUUGGGAGGCUGAGGUGGGAGAACUACUUCAGCCCAGGAGGUUGAGGCUGCAGUGAGCCAUGAUUGUGCCACUAUACUCCAGCCUGGCUGACAGAGUGAAGACCUGUCUC